AGCGAACGCUGGCGGCAGGCUUAACACAUGCAAGUCGAGCGGGCAUCCUUGUGGUGUCAGCGGCAGACGGGUGAGUAACGCGUGGGAACGUGCCCUUCGGUUCGGAAUAACUCAGGGAAACUUGAGCUAAUACCGGAUACGUGCGAGAGCAGAAAGGUUUAUCUGCCGAAGGAUCGGCCCGCGUCUGAUUAGCUAGUUGGUGAGGUUAUGGCUCACCAAGGCGACGAUCAGUAGCUGGUCUGAGAGGAUGAUCAGCCACACUGGGACUGAGACACGGCCCAGACUCCUACGGGAGGCAGCAGUGGGGAAUAUUGGACAAUGGGGGCAACCGUGAUCCAGCCAUGCCGCGUGAGUGAUGACGGCCUUAGGGUUGUAAAGCUCUUUUCUCCGGGACGAUAAUGACGGUACCGGAGGAAUAAGCCCCGGCUAACUUCGUG
rnacentral:rRNA from 1 species